UAACGGAUUACAAAACUUUUAUGGACUCUACAAAUUCAUUAGCUAACAACUGGAGAUCCAGCACAGUUUAAAUUCAUUUCCAAUGUAUGUUCCAGGUCAGACACAGAAAGGUCAGUAUGGGAAGAUACAUCCGGGUUUUCCUGGACAUGUCCUCUUUUCUGGCCCUUCGUCUUUGUGUCCAAGCGGGCUUUUAAAAAGUGUCUUCUUGAUCCUGGAAAUGUGCUAACCCCGGGGAAGAUCAGCUCUUCCCACAAUUCAAAUUCGCUCAACACCCA